AUCCAACUAACGAGUCCCAAAUAGGACGAAACGUGCGUUGUGGAU
rnacentral:hammerhead_ribozyme from 1 species